UACGGAGGAUCCGAGCGUUAUCCGGAUUUAUUGGGUUUAAAGGGUGCGCAGGCGGAGGUGCAAGUCAGUGGUCAAAUUGCGGGGCUCAACCCCGUACUGCCGUUGAAACUGUUUCCCUUGAGUAUCGGAGAGGUCAUCGGAAUUCCUAGUGUAGCGGUGAAAUGCGUAGAUAUUAGGAAGAACACCAGUGGCGAAGGCGGAUGACUGGACGACAACUGACGGUGAGGCGCGAAAGCGUGGGGAGCAAACAGG
rnacentral:rRNA from 1 species